rnacentral:rRNA from 1 species
GAGAUGUGGGUAGUCCGCACGAGCGCACCUCACUUUUAGUUGCCAUCAUUAAGUUGGGCACUCUGAAAGAACCGCCAGUGAUAAGCUGGAGGAAGGUGGGGAUGACGUCAAGUCCUCAUGGCCCUUACGUGUUGGGCUACACACGUGCUACAAUGGCAUCUACAACAGGAAGCAAAACGGCAACGUUAAGCAAAUCCCGAAAAGAUGCCUCAGUUCGGAUUGCACUCUGCAACUCGAGUGCAUGAAGCUGGAAUUACUAGUAAUCGUGGAUCAGCGUGCCACGGUGAAUGCGUUCCCGGGUCUUGUACACACCGCCCGUCACACCAUGGGAGUUGGUUCUACCUUAAGGCAAGGUUUUAAACCCUUGACCACGGUAUAGUCAGCGACUGGGGUGAAGUCGUAACAAGGUAGCCGUAGGGGAACCUGCGGCUGGAUUACCUCCUUUCU